CUGGAGGAGAGGGAAAUAACUGGGAGGAGAGGAAAAGGAACCUGGAGGAAAGUGAAAGGAACCUGGAGGAGAGGGAAGCUGGAGAAGGGGGAAAGGAGCCUGGAGGAGAGGAAAAGGAGCCUGGAGGAGAGGAAAAGGAGCCUGGAGGAGAGGGAAGCUGGAGAAGGGGGAAAGGAGCCUGGAGGAGAGGAAAAGGAGCCUGGAGGAAAGGAAAAGGAGCCUGGAGGAGAGGAAAAGGAGCCUGGAGGAGAGGGCAAGGAACUGGCAGGACUGGGAUGCUGCCAGUGAGUGGAGGGAUUGCUCCCAUGCUGAGCAGGGAGGAAAUUGGGGAUGUGGGCGGAUCAGGAGGAGCUGGACCACCUCAGCACAUCCUGCCUGUGGCAGGGGGUGAGUUAAGGAUGCUGGAAUGUCACAGCAGGCUGGGAAUUUGGGGUUAGUUCCAGCAGCUGGCACCAGGUGAAGUUUGGAUCCUGCUCCGUCCGUUUUCCCUGUGGUGCCUCAGGAAUGGGGGGUGUGGGAAUGGGGCUGUGCUCCUGGAUCCAGUGCUCCUCUUUUCAAACCUCUGGAUUUGAAAGGAGCCUGGGCUCUCCUUGUCUUUUCCCUCCUCCCUGGGACAUCCCUCCUGGAACAUCCCACAGGGAUAUCCCAUUGCUCGUGGUGGGCAUUCCUUGGAUCGGUGCAGCCUCCCCAAAAUCCUUGUGGGAGUUCCAGGACCCACCUUUUGGAGCCUUUAUCCAUGGGAAAGCCAAAUAGGGGAGCAGCCCCAGGAUGAGGUUUCAGCCUCUGUGGUGGCUGGAACUUCCCAUGGGAUGUUGAUCCCUGUCGCUGCCGUUCCCACCUCCGUGGCUGCAUCAUCCCUUGGGAACGAUGUUCUCCAGGUCUUUUGGGAUUGCUCCAGCCCUUCCCUGGGCCCUACAGACACAGCUCUCCCCUCCUGGUGGCUGCUCCCUGCUUUUCCCCCCCUUCCCAGCAUCCCGAGGGAAACAUUCCUUGCCAGGGCUCCGAAGGAAGAGCUAAAAAUCCCUCUGGGAUCAGGGGCUGACAAGAAGUUUCUAUUUAUUUCCAUUCUCUGGGAGAGGGUUGGAAUGGUUCUGGAUCCGGAGCUGAGGGGAGGUUGGAAUGGUUCUGGAUCCAGAGCUGAGGGGAGGUUGGAAUGGUUCUGGAUCCAGAGCUGAGGGGAGGUUGGAAUGGUUCUGGAUCCAGAGCUGAGGGGAGGUUGGAAUGGUUCUGGAUCCAGAGCUGAGGGGAGGUUGGAAUGGUUCUGGAUCUGGAGCUGAGGGGAGGUUGGAAUGGUUCUGGAUCCGGAGCUGAGGGGGGGUUGGAAUGGUUCUGGAUCCAGA